CCCUUAGAUGUUCUGGGCCGCACGUGCGCUACACUGACAGAGCCAACGAGUUCUUCACUUUGGCCGGAAGGUCUGGGUAAUCUUGUUAAACUCUGUCGUGCUGGGGAUAGAGCAUUGCAAUUAUUGCUCUUCAACGAGGAAUGCCUAGUAAGCGCGUGUCAUCAGCACGCGUUGAUUACGUCCCUGCCCUUUGUACACACCGCCCGUCGCUACUACCGAUUGAAUGGCUCAGUGAGGCCUUCGGACUGGCUCAGGGAGGUUGGCAACGACCACCCCGAGCCGGAAAGUUCGUCAAACUCGGUCAUUUAGAGGAAGUAAAAGUCGUAACA
rnacentral:rRNA from 1 species